AAAGUUCAACAAACUCAUGGGUGUGAAAGGCGACGUGCCAACGGAGAACAAACCUGUCAUCCACGAUGCAGAGAGGCAAAAGGAACUUCAAAUGGACUUAGAGAAGCAAUACACUGCUGGACUUCGCCGAAGAGACGGUCGUACAGUUGGACUAGGUCUCUAAGGACUUGCCUUGAACAUCUUUGUAUUUUAAUGACUCUUUUGGUCGUGGUGUUGUGUUGUUUGCAAUUAUGGAGCUGCAUGUAUUGUGUCGACUUAAACAAUGUAUCCUGAAAUUUACGUUAUCUCUUGAUCAAAGAUUGUAUUUUUU
rnacentral:misc_RNA from 1 species